AUUGAACGCUGGCGGAAUGCUUUACACAUGCAAGUCGAGCGGCAGCGCGGGGGCAACCUGGCGGCGAGCGGCGAACGGGUGAGUAAUACAUCGGAACGUGCCCAGACGUGGGGGAUAGCCCGGCGAAAGCCGGAUUAAUACCGCAUACGAUCUGAGGAUGAAAGCGGGGGAUCGCAAGACCUCGCGCUAUUGGAGCGGCCGAUAUCAGAUUAGGUAGUUGGUAGGGUAAAGGCCUACCAAGCCAACGAUCUGUAGCUGGUCUGAGAGGACGACCAGCCACACUGGAACUGAGACACGGUCCAGACUCCUACGGGAGGCAGCAGUGGGGAAUUUUGGACAAUGGGCGAAAGCCUGAUCCAGCCAUUCCGCGUGCAGGAUGAAGGCCCUCGGGUUGUAAACUGCUUUUGUACAGAACGAAAAGGUCUCUAUUAAUACUAGGGGCUCAUGACGGUACUGUAAGAAUAAGCACCGGCUAACUACGUG
rnacentral:rRNA from 1 species